rnacentral:rRNA from 1 species
UGCCAGACUCCUACGGGAGGCAGCAGUGGGGGAUAUUGCACAAUGGGGGGAACCCUGAUGCAGCGACGCCGCGUGGGUGAAGAAGCGCCUCGGCGCGUAAAGCCCUGUCAGCAGGGAAGAAAAUGACGGUACCUGAAGAAGAAGCCCCGGCUAACUACGUGCCAGCAGCCGCGGUAAUACGUAGGGGGCAAGCGUUAUCCGGAUUUACUGGGUGUAAAGGGGGCGCAGACGGCGAUGCAAGCCAGGAGUGAGAGCCCGGGUGGCAGCCCCGGGACUGCUCUUGGAACUGCGGGGAUGGAGUGCAGGAGGGGGAGGCGGAAUUCCUGGUGGAGCGGUGAAAGGCGUAG